UGGGGAAUCUUCCGCAAUGGACGAAAUUCUGCCGGAGCAACGCCGCGUGAGUGAUGACGGCCUUCGGGUUGUAAAGCUCUGUUAAUCGGGACGAAUGGUUCUUGUGCGAAUAGUGCGAGGAUUUGACGGUACCGGAAUAGAAAGCCACGGCUAACUACGUGCCAGCAGCCGCGGUAAUACGUAGGUGGCAAGCGUUGUCCGGAAGUAUUGGGCGUAAAGCGCGCGCAGGCGGAUUGGUCAGUCUGUCUUAAAAGUUCGGGGCUUAACCCCGUGAUGUGAUUGAAACUGCCAAUCUAGAGUAUCGGAGAGGAGAGUGGAAUUCCUAGUGUAGCGGUGAAAUGCGUAGAUAUUAGGAAGAACACCAGUGGCGAAGGCGACUUUCUGGACGAAAACUGACGCUGAGGCGCGAAAGCCAGGGGGGCGAACGAG
rnacentral:rRNA from 1 species